AAAGCACACUAGGUAAAAGGUCUAUCUGCCUACGUCUAUAACCCGUAAAUCACUCUAAAAAUCAAUAUGAACAGAGACCAUUAGCCAAAACCCUGAUUAAAAAAUCUCAAUAGAAACAUGAAAAAGAUACCCUGCGUCUCAUAAAACGCUUUGGUGGUUCACGGUUCCUGCGGUCAGUGCGUGAGCGAACCCUCACCACAUGCGAGUGAAUUGCACAGGAGACACAGUACUGCAUCUUUGCAUACAACUUAGGCAGAACAUAGUCUGCAUCAAAUGCAAAAGAUUCCCAUUAUUUUCCAUUCAAACAAUACAUAAUUAAUUACAAAAUAAGAGAAAUAAUAACAUGUGUAGCAGAUAUUUACUGUCAUAGAUGCAGGCAUCCUGCACGUCUCUAACAGCAGCUUGCUCAACAAUGUUCCUCACAAGGCAUAUUAAUUAAUUUUUAAAUGCAAACUUAACAUCAAUACAACAACUCUAGUCUAACUAUAGAUUUGACCAAUACAUCCGCAAAAUUUAUCAUGACACGAGUUUACAAAAAUAUGGAAGAAUUGAAAAAAUUAUUCUUCUUUCCCGUAAUGCCACACAAUUGCCUCAUUUGGGAGGGAAAAAUUCUCAAUGUUGUUCAUUUUUAUCAAAAUAAACAAAAAAAAAAAAAAACAGGGAAUCAUAUAAUACUAAUAAUAAAAAAACAGAUAGAAUUUUAAUUAAUGAAAGCGAUACAAAAAUAAAAACAAAAGUGUAUACUUUGGGGCAGCAUUUGCCGUUCCGACGCUUGAAGGUCUGCCACAGAAAAAAAAAAUAUAAUAAAUCAAAUUUAUAUUAAAUAAAAACAAUUCUUCUUUUUUCAAUAAUAAUAUUUUUGGAAAUCAGAAAGAUAAAACAUUUUCGCAAACCAUUCUGUUUUCUUCAAGGGAUGAUCUCCCCUUUCCAAUUUUUGACAACCACGCCUAAUCCAAUCAUCAUUUCUUCUGAAGUUGACAUUGCUGCAUGAGUAAAAAAGAAUGUUAAAAUUGAAUUAUUCAUUUGGAAGAAUAUCAUGACGCAAUUAAACAAAAACUGAAUAUUUUAUCUUUCGUACUCUCUCAAUAAUUUUGACUGCAUACUUUUUCUGAAAAAAAAAAAAAAAAAACUCAUAUCUAGAUUCAGUCACAAAGCCAAAUCUCUCUAAUCAUACGUCUAUAUUAAGAAACACAAAUAAGAGAUUCCAAGAACUUGUUAACACCCUUUUGGAAUAAUUGAUUCUGGAUUUUCAUACUUGGAUAAUGGCUUUUGCUUGGAUAUCUCUCCAAUCACUCAAACCCUUUCACACAAUUGAUUGAAUCUCACUUGCUUGAUUUAUAUUACAUCGAGAUUUUGAGCCUGGCAUGGUUAAGGAGUUUUAAAAGUGUAAAAAAUUGAGUGAUUGAAAAAUGGGAGAAACCUGUAGUGUAACUGUGGUACUGUGCCAAAGUUGCAUUCAGUCGUUGGAUGUCAGUGGAUCCUACUAAUCUAAGUGCAUCCAACGGCUGGAUACAACUGUGGCAUGGUACCACAGUUGCACCGUAGCCUGAUCCUGAAAAAUAAUAGAGCUGAAAAUGAGAGAAAAUUUAGAAUUAUGGGAAUUUUAUUGGGGAAGAAAAAGUAUUGUAAACUCAAUGAUGGGGUGAUUAAGAAAUAGGCCGAAUAAAAAAUAAAAAGAAUUUAAAUAUCAUCACUCAAAUUUAAUUGUAUUUUUAUUAAAAACAUUAACCGGUGAUUUCUAUUUAAAGGAAUAAUAUUUAAGUCCCUCAAAUUUUUUAUUUUUAACUGCUUGUAUCUUUUUCUAAAACUUAUUAUACUCAUAAGAUAUCAAUAUUUAAUGUUCAAAAUGACUUUUUCUAAAUAUUAAAACAAUUAUUAUUAUUAUUAUUAUUAUUUGUUGUAAUAUAGUGGUAGGGAUAAAAAUCUAAGGGUGACAAAAAAAUUGGUAUUUAAUAGAAUUUUCGUAAUGACAAAAAGUAAAUGGACCCAAGUGAUAAAACAAUAUAAUUGAUGGACAAAAGAUCAUUUUUCAUUUGUGUUGCCGACACCGUAGUUUGGUUUACGCUUCCCGACCCAUGAUAUUCAAGUCCCGGUACCUUUGUCAUCCCAUAAAAUUGUCCAUAAUUAAAAUAAGGCAUGUUUUAUAUUCUGUGGCUAAUAUUUAGAGCAAAUGAAUUUUCCAAGUCCUCCCAUAAAGAUAUCAUAUCCCAACAUAAUCUUCAACCAUUUUAAUGGUUAAAAUUACAAGAGAAGUCGUAUCUAUGUUUUAUCACAAUUGUUUGGCAACCACCAAAUUGGCCGUAUAAAGCCAUUGAUGAAUCAGAAAAAGAUACCAUUGUCGAAAACUUGGCCAUUGUGGUCCCUGAUGUAUAAAACUGACCAUAGGAUUAGCAAAGGUUUGUCAGCUAGCGGAACUUACGUGUACGUCAUGCACACUUAAAUGUUAUCUAUAUACUGUGUAGGCAUUGCUCUGAACUAACCUCUUCAUUCAGAGUCCCCGAGUCAGCUGCAAGGGAAUGGCCAUGAAUAAUCUUUCAGCAGAAUCAACUGUUGCUGCAGCAAUUUCAGCCUUAGUGAUAUUCCUCUCAAUUUUCCUCUUGAUUUCAAGAAAUGGGCAAAAAAGGACACUCAAGAAUAAGCAAGCUCAACAAGCACCGGUAGCAGAGGGAGCAUGGCCUUUGAUAGGCCACCUACAUCUCUUACGAGGGCCAGAGCCAGCUCACAGAGUUUUGGGCAACCUGGCUGACAAAUAUGGAACAAUAUUCACUAUGAAGUUGGGGGUGAAACAUGCUUUAGUGGUGAGCAACUGGGAAAUUGCCAAGGAGUGUUUUACCACAAAUGACAAAGCUUUUGCAGGUCGCCCCAAAACAAUGGCCGUAGAGCUUAUGGGGUACAACUUUUUGGUCAUAGGCUUCGCACCAUAUGGCAACUACUGGCGUCAGUCACGUAAGAUAGUGACAAUUGAGCUUCUGUCAAAUCGUCGCCUUGAGAAGCUCAAACACGUACGUGAAUCUGAAGUGAAGGCUUCAAUCCAGAGGUUAUACAAGAAUUGCAUAAGUAGCAGCAGUUCACGUAAAGUAGUUUCGGUGGAGAUGAUCCAUUGGCUCGAGGGCACAGCACUUGACAUUAUUUUGAGAAUAAUUGCCGGAAAACGUCACACUUCACAAUCAGAAGAGGCUAAUGAUUGGCAACAGCAAAUAACAAAGAUCGCUGCCUUGUCUGGUCAGUUCGUGGUGUCCGAUGCGUUGCCCUUUCUGAGACGGUUAGAUAUCGGUGGAUAUGAGAGAUUAAUGAGCAAGACAGCUAAAUAUUUUGACAUCAUUUUGCAAGAAUGGGUGGAUGAGCACAAGAUGAAAAGAGUUUCUGGUGAAGUUAAGGGCGACGAGGAUUUCAUAUAUGUGUUGUUGUCCCUACUUGAUGAUAAUGCAGAGCAGCUUCCCGA
rnacentral:lncRNA from 1 species